rnacentral:rRNA from 1 species
UACAGAGGUCCCAAGCGUUGUUCGGAUUCACUGGGCGUAAAGGGUGCGUAGGUGGUGAGGUAAGUCGGGUGUGAAACCUCCAGGCUCAACCUCGAGACGUCGACGGAAACCGUCUGGCUAGAGUCCGGAAGAGGAGUGUGGAAUUCCUGGUGUAGCGGUGAAAUGCGCAGAUAUCAGGAAGAACACCUAUGGCGAAGGCAGCACUCUGGGACGGUACUGACGCUGAGACGCGAAAGCGUGGGGAGCGAACAGG